GGAUGCGAUCAUACUAGCCCUAAAGCACUGGAUCCCAUCAGAACUCCGAAGUUAAGCGUGCUUGGGUGAGAGUAGUACUAGGACAGGUGACCUCCUGGGAAGUCCUCGUGUUGCAUUCC
rnacentral:rRNA from 1 species